ACACGAGGCACACAUGUAUAUCAGCGUAACACGUACACUAUAUAUGUAACGACAGUUGAAAGUGUGAUGCGGUUAAACUGCUUACUCACGGUUGAUAAGAGUAAACUGAAAUUCGUUGAUCACAUUGUAGUCGCGGGGAACGUCCAGUGUUUUUAUGACUGAAAGGUUUUCCUUUGCAGACCCCUAAUCUUCUGCAUUUGAAUACUGAUAACGGCACAUAAUCUCCAAGCAGAACAUGUAAGUCUAUUUGAAUAAUAACGUGAAUAAUAAGGAAAGAAGGGUAAGAAGUCGUUCGUCGGUGUUUGCCCGAGGCAGGUGGGAAUUCCAGUGUUCGCAGGAAGCAUCGGGAAACUACGUUCCGUGGAGCAAGGGGAACAUCGUUGUGAACACCAGGAGUAAUUCUUAAUGUCAGUUGGAGCCGCAAUUGUUGGUUAAACCUUCGGCCCUAAGCGAUGACCUCCGUUACAGUGACUUUCCGUUUUCCGACUUAACUCAUCUACGUGAUUAGACGCGUGUAACAGUGAUGCCGCAUAAAAGAAACCCGGAAAUAGGUCAUCAGGGAAACAACCGUUCCAGGGGAUUUCUCGGUUAAACAGAUCGGGAAAUUUAAUCAAUUCUGUGUUGACACUUUACAGAAUUUAUUGGUCAGGUAAGCACCGUAGCCGAUGGCGUUCACUCGGAGCUGAAACACGAGAGCAACAUGAUUUCCUGUUGGAAAAUGAAAUAACAAUAAUAAAAAUAAAAGGAAACGUACACAUGCAUGCAACGUCACAGUCUACCUUGGUGCUUCGUUUGUGUCGUCCAGCUAAACGAAGAACAGAGAUUAUUACUCCACCAUGAUCAUCGACACGUCAAACGAAGACAGACAAUAGAAGACGACAGAACAACCUCUGAUCACCCUGUCAAAGAAGAAAUGAACUCUAUUGUGCGGCAUUGCAGUCGAUACACUUCCUUGAUUUUUUGUUCGAUGAUGAUGAUUAAGAAGAUUGGGGGCGAUUAGGUCAGAACGAGAAUUAAAAAUACUUGGAAUAAUUGUCUCUGCUCACAAUGAUGUUAUAACAGUCCUAUAACAAGAAAUCGAAUGCUUCACGUUCUCAAUCUAUCGGUAAAUUUGCAUAAAUAUCCUCUGCUCGUAAUUAUUCAGUGAUUCACCGGGAGAACGAGUUUAUUGCGAUGUUUACCGUAGUUGGAUUGUAAAAAAUAUUAUAAUUCCUCUUCUGGAUACGUCAUUCGAAUGACUCUGUUGACUGUUAACUUGCAGCUCACAGUUUAUUAACUAUAAGACAAAUUAACACUAGAACUACUAACAGUCCAAUAAGAUUAAUAUGCGAUUCUUAUAAAAAUAGAUAUCUGGUAACAAUAGAUUUUUUCCAGUUUCCUUAUACAUUCAGUUCUAAGAUGUAUAUUCUAUGUCUAGAAUCUUUUUUAUUUUCAAUGAAUUAUUGAUAAUAAAGUAGUUGUAUCGAUCGCAGCUGAGAAAUAAAUCGCAAGGCAGAGUUAAAAGACUGCAGCGUACUGAUUUCAGUCAUCGAUUGAUACAUCGUACAAUGUUUGCAACGAUUUCAUAUAAUGUAACGAAUGAAAUGAACUUGACCUUCUCUUCUGCAGAUGCAUGACAUUCAACGAGGUAAAUAAAUAACGUAACGUAAGAACGUACGAUAGCAAGUAAUUAGUAAUUAUAUACAAUAAGCAAUGUCAUUCAGAACGCCAACAAUGCCCAUAGUAAUCGACGUGUUAAGAAAUUCAGUGCUAUACUAACUGGUGUUGGAAGGAUUCAACAAUCCUUGCAAGCCGGCGCCGGCUUUAGCUCCCCAGGGUGUCCCUGCGCUGACAUCAUAUCCACCCCCAAGUUGGGAGCCAUCCGCGUUAGCGCGUCGUCCGACUUGAGCGUGGAAACCACCGAAAUUCACCUUGAAGCCCCCGUCGCUAGACUGAAGCCAUGGGAUCUGGGGUUGCGUCAAAACGGAACGAAUUAGGAAAUGUAUCGUGUCGCUGAUAUUUCAUCAUUGUGUCAUUAUUAUUUCAAUAAGGCACUUUAAGGUAUUCGACAUUUUAAAAUAUGAAAGUGUAAGGUUUACAAAAAUGUGUAAUUUCAGAAAAAGUAUGCUGGAGACAGAAUAGAGUGCAUUAAUGUAAUACGAUAUAUAUUGUUAAUAUAAAUGAUAUGUUGAAUAUUUAAUAUUUCAAAUUAAACUUCAUAGUUGAAUAUUUAAUAUUUCAAAUUAAACUUCAUAGUUGAAUAUUUAAUAUUUCAAAUUAAACUUCAUAGUUGAACAUUUAAUAUUUCAAAUUAAAUUUCAUAGUUGAACAUUUAAUAUUUCAAAUUAAACUUCAUAGUUUUGUAGUAUCGAACCACGUGGUGACUGAGAAUUUGCAUUGCUACGUGAAAUAUUGAAAUAAAACACCUCUGUCGAUUAAUUUAUCUAUAAAUAAUUAAAUUAGUUUCAAGCAAUAUAUCCUACAUCUCGUCAGAAAAUGUUGAAUAUUUCCAUUGAGAAACUUUCGAGAGCAAAGGGUUAAGUCAACUUUGUGCUCACCUGUGACUGUGGCAUCCCAUGAGCUAGGGCCAGCAAACAAAGGCCAAAGAUCACAACUACCGCACCGCGCAGCAUCUUUCUGUCUACUGGCUAGCGCUGUCCACUGCCAUCGAACGUAUACCGGUGUUUUAUAAUAAUACCACGAACUCAUUUCAUACUCAGCGGACGAAGGUAGGAGGAGUCCAAAAAAAAACACAAGCUAGUUACAGAGUUCGCUCACGAUCGACGCUGAUUAUGAGUCACAUAGUAAGUUAAUCGUAUAAGAAUCCCACCGUGAAUCCUGAGUUCAAGGAUUCGUGAAAAAAUUUCACACGUUCGGUACACGAAAUUAUAUAGCCGAAGUUUCGAUUCAAAGUGGAUAGCGAUUAUGUCAGUUUUUAGCUGAAGGUAAUUAACUGUAAUUUACGUUCUGUUUCCUUUAGGGCACAACGAAAGAGGAGAUUCAGACGUUCAAGGUCCAUAGAUGAUUAUUAUCGUGAAUUCAUCGCUAGCGAACGCAACAAAGAAUAAGAGAAGCAGCGAAUCAUACUUAUUUCGAGGUACUCGAUCGUUUAUUUAUUUGGAUACAACAAAUUAUCAUAUAGUAUUCGUGUUGUAAUAUGGAUUUUCGUUGAUUCGUGUUAGCCUUUCCUUUCAUUACCAGUUUCCUCACUGUAAAUAUUUUUAUAAUUAAUCUUUACUGAAAUAUUUUUAUAAUAAGUCUAAGAAGACAGUUAGACAGUUAUAAUUGAACCUUUAACCCUUUGCGGUCCGAAGUGCUCUUGGUUUCAUUUUGAGGUUCACGUUAGUUCAUUCAAUUACAGCUUAACAUGACGCUCUUAUCAGUAUCAAUUAUAAUUUUCUUACUAUGUCUU